rfam:Mustela putorius furo unplaced genomic scaffold scaffold00034, whole genome shotgun sequence.
GGAUGUGAGGGUGAUCUGGCCACGACAUUGUCACCCCAUUGAGCGCCAGCAUUGAUUUGGCAGAUCUGGCUGGGUAGCGGGUGUCCCCUUCCUCCCUCACGGCUCCAUGUGCUUCCCUCCCAAAGCUGUGCACUCCAGUGAAGAGGACAACUGUCCCUGAGAGAGAAGAGGACUGUUCUUCGGUCAAGGGUAUACGAGGAGCUGCACUCCCCAGGUAGGACCUCCAAACAAGCUCUCAAGACUAUCUAAAGUUUAUGGGUCAGGAGACUUAAUGUUAGGAUGGCAGUCCCCACUAAAUGCAUCUACAGGGUGCCUGGGUGG